UUCCGGUUGAUCCUGCCGGAGGCCAUUGCUAUCGGAGUCCGAUUUAGCCAUGCUAGUCGCACGAGUUCAGACUCGUGGCGAAAAGCUCAGUGACACGUGGCCAAACUACCCUAUGGACGGAACUAACCUCGGGAAACUGAGGCUAAUGUCCGAUACGGCUCUCACGCUGGAACGCCGAGAGCCGGAAACGCCCCGGCGCCAUAGGAUGUGGCUGCGGCCGAUUAGGUUGACGGUGGGGUAACGGCCCACCGUGCCAAUGAUCGGUAUGGGUCAUGAGAGUGAGAACCCAGAGACGGUAUCUGAGACAAGAUACCGGGCCCUACGGGGCGCAGCAGGCGCGAAACCUUUACACUGCACGACAGUGCGAUAAGGGGACUCCGAGUGCGAGGGCAUACAGUCCUCGCUUUUCUGUACCGUAGGGUGGUACAGGAACAAGUGCUGGGCAAGACCGGUGCCAGCCGCCGCGGUAAUACCGGCAGCACGAGUGAUGGCCGAUAUUAUUGGGCCUAAAGCGUCCGUAGCUGGCCGGACAAGUCCGUUGGGAAAUCCACCCGCUUAACGGGUGGGCGUCCAGCGGAAACUGUCCGGCUUGGAGCUGGAAGAUCCGAGGGGUACGUCCGGGGUAGGAGUGAAAUCCCGUAAUCCUGGACGGACCGCCGGUGGCGAAAGCGCCUCGGAAGAACGGACUCGACAGUGAGGGACGAAAGCUAGGGUCUCGAACCGGAUUAGAUACCCGGGUAGUCCUAGCUGUAAACGAUGUCCGCUAGGUGUGGCGCAGGCUACGAGCCUGCGCUGUGCCGUAGGGAAGCCGUGAAGCGGACCGCCUGGGAAGUACGUCUGCAAGGAUGAAACUUAAAGGAAUUGGCGGGGGAGCACUACAACCGGAGGAGCCUGCGGUUUAAUUGGAUUCAACGCCGGGAA
rnacentral:rRNA from 1 species